GACGUAGGGCGCGAGCGUUGUCCGGAUUUAUUGGGCGUAAAGAGCUCGUAGGCGGCUUGUCGCGUCGUCCGUGAAAACUUGGGGCUCAACCCCAAGCUUGCGGUCGAUACGGGCAGGCGUAGAGUUCGGUAGGGGAGACUGGAAUUCCUGGUGUAGCGGUGAAAUGCGCAGAUAUCAGGAGGAACACCGGUGGCGAAGGCGGGUCUCUGGGCCGAUACUGACGCUGAGGAGCGAAAGCGUGGGGAGCGAACAGG
rnacentral:rRNA from 1 species